GUAUCCCUAGCUUCCUCCAGGUCCAUUGCCUAGCAACAGCGAGCAGAGCAGAAGCCGCGGGAGGCAGCUGGGUCGUGCCCGUCAGCAAGGGCUGGGGGCCCAGCAGGCGUCAUGUUUAGCCGGUCUGGCUACCGGGCCCUGCCCCUGGGCGACUUCGACCGCUUCCAACAAUCCAGCCUGGGCAUCUACGGCUCCAAGCAGGGCUUCUUCCCCACCAUUCUGGGGCGAGAGCGGCUGAGCCUGGGGCCAGAUGUGGACUCUCCCCAGAGCUGGCCAUCCUACAUCUGCCACAGUAUUAUCAGUUUCCUGGUAUUUCUGCUGCUCAUAAUCACAUUCCCCAUUUCUGGAUGGUUUGCCUUGAAGAUCAUCCCUACCUAUGAACGGAUGGUUGUGUUUCGUCUGGGACGGAUUCGAGCCCCACAGGGGCCAGGCAUGGUCCUGCUGCUUCCUUUCAUUGACUCUUGGCAGAGGGUGGAUCUGAGGACAAGAGCAUUCAACGUCCCUCCCUGUAAGCUGACCUCCAAGGAUGGCGCCCUGGUCUCUGUAGGGGCUGAUGUUCAGUUCCGCAUCUGGGACCCAGUAUUGUCAGUGAUGAUGGUGAAGGACUUGAACUCAGCCACCCGCAUGACAGCCCAGAAUGCCAUGACAAAGACUUUGUUGAAGAAACAACUCCGUGAAAUCCAGAUGGAAAAGCUGAAGAUUGGGGAUCAGCUCCUAGUCAGAGAACACCUUGGGACCAGCUCAGACAACUUCUUCAGACCAGACUAUCUCAGGACAAGAUCAGAGAGGCUCUUGGAACAAGUUUUCCAUCCAUUAGAGGUUUCAUUGAAAGAUUCCCACAAAACCAACUCAAUAACAUUCAUCUCCACCCUGGAUCAUUUUUCAUUCCCUAACCAUAACUGGGACUGUCUGGAAAUUCUUUUUUUAUGCUUUCUUUCUUUAAAGACUAUUAAAAAGUGUCUCUUUUCUUUUUCAAAAAUGUUGUCAAAACCAACAGGCGUCUCAUGGCCUUUCUGGGAAAACUUCAUUCCUCGAUUCCUGUUUGUCCUGGCUCCUCUGGAGUGUGGUUGGAGUCACAGAGAAAUAUUAAUAGACUUAUUUCAUUGAAAUAUGCAGCCCUUUCCAAACACUUAUGUAAAAUGUUUGGAAGAGAGCAAGAUGUGAAUCUCCACAGAGUGAUGAAGUCUACAACAAGGAGACCUGCUCCAGAAGUCUCAUGGAAAACAGAAGGGGCUACUCUGACCCCUUAAUUCUCCCACUCUUUUGCUGAGUGGCCUCUCCACACUUCAGUUGAAUCUUCGGUCAAAAGGACAUACUAGCUUUCUUCUCUUUGGGCAGAAGUAGGCAGAUCACUGCAGGGCUCCAUAGCCCAUCUCUCAGUUGCUGGGGAUCCCCUAUCAAAGACUAUCCUUAACUUGCUUGGUUGGCUCCGUGGUCUGCUCUGGCAAAGUAAUACUAUAAUAAGAAAUCUGGAAGAGCUUCUUGUCCUCCCCCCAAACUGGAUAAGCUAUAUUUAAAUGAGGAAGAGCCUGACCCCCAAAUCCAGCAGCCACACACUGAUCCUGCUAUAAACUGGUCUUUAGUUCCAACCACAAUCUAAUGGCUAAUUUUGGUCAGAGACCCCCUGACAUGGCACAGAAUUCUCCCUAACCCUAGUCAAUGAUUCUUUGUCCACAGACCAGCUCUUUAGGAUUGGUCACAAAUGGAUCCCUAAUCCUAGCCAUAGGCAACCCCUAACCUCCCUCACAGACUAGCUGUCUAAUCAUGGCCACAGAGCAACUCAAAUCUUUCAUCUCCACCACACAAUGACCUAGAACUGUGACUAUAAACUGCUAACCUAAUUGUUUAGUUGUCUCAAAAAUGUUUAUAGGUAGUGUCAUAAGGGGAGCCAGACUCAAUAGAGCCCACUUCACUGCAAGAAAAAGAAUUCUGAGCCCCCAUCCUAUCAGGGCUGAGCUGAGAAUAAUAUCUUCAGAUACACAAGACCUCAACGUCACGUAAAAAAGCCAGAAUAUGCCACAUGUGUGCUCAAGAUUUCAAGUCACCUCUUAAAGCAGAGCUGGGAAAGAAGGCAUGGUGAGAGGGGAUGACGCCAAAUGGGGUGGACAACAGUGAAGAUAUGAGAGGGCCCUGCAGGAAUCUGAAAAGUCAGUAAAGAACAUUAUGGUCCUCAUACUCAAUUCCCUGGACAAAAGGAGAGUAACAGUGAAAAGAACAGGAUUUUCUGAACUCUCAGUGUAAAUUAAUGCAGGGAAAUGUUUAGGAUUUUUCUCUGCCCAUGUCAAUCUUACAACUUCUCUCAUGAACUUCAUUAAAUUCCUAAAACAUAUGGAAGAUUCCCUGACUAGCCCUAGUCUGCCCUCCUCAUCUUUCCUUAUAGGCCUAGAGUCAUCCAUCCAUUAGUCACUUCCAUACUGCUAAGUACACAGUGAGUGCUCAAUAAAGAUAUUGAUGCACUGAGUAGGUGUUUUUGAUUUCUGGUCAUUAUUAUGCUGUGUAGAGAGACUUGCCCAUGGUCAUGCUGUUAGCCAGAACAUGUCAAAGGUAGUGUUUAUACCCAGGCCCAUAGAAUAUACACUAAAUACAAUGUCUCACCCAGAAAGGACCUAUAGGUCUUCCUUUAGCCUCUCCUAUUGGGCAGUGCCAUCUUUCUGCUUCUAUUACUUUCCCACUCUGCCCUCACUGACCUG